rnacentral:rRNA from 1 species
AGUGAACGCUGGCGGUAGGCCUAACACGUGCAAGUCGAACGGCAGCACAGUAAGAGCUUGCUCUUACGGGUGGCGAGUGGCGGACGGGUGAGGAAUACAUCGGAAUCUACUUUUUCGUGGGGGAUAACGUAGGGAAACUUACGCUAAUACCGCAUACGACCUACGGGUGAAAGCAGGGGAUCUUCGGACCUUGCGCGAUUGAAUGAGCCGAUGUCGGAUUAGCUAGUUGGCGGGGUAAAGGCCCACCAAGGCGACGAUCCGUAGCUGGACUGAGAGGAUGAUCAGCCACACUGGAACUGAGACACGGUCCAGACUCCUACGGGAGGCAGCAGUGGGGAAUAUUGGACAAUGGGCGCAAGCCUGAUCCAGCCAUACCGCGUGGGUGAAGAAGGCCUUCGGGUUGUAAAGCCCUUUUGUUGGGAAAGAAAAGCAGCAGGUUAAUACCCCGCUGUUCUGACGGUACCCAAAGAAUAAGCACCGGCUAACUUCGUG